GGGGUCGUAUUGGUUUUGACAGCAACCGUUUCAAAUUGUGUAAGCAUGCAGUGCGUUGGAUAAUUAGCACUUUAAUCUGAAUAUCUAAAACAUAAAAGGCGCAAAUAAUUUCGCCGUAGCAGCCUAAUUUAUACAUUAGUCUCCUACUUAGUAGUUAAAAAGGUAGUCUUAUUACCCAUUUAAUUACCGAAUCAAAACAAAAAUAAGAUGCUACAAAAGUUGUUGAUGCUUUUGUGUAAGAAAUAUUCAACUAAGAAUAAAAUAGGUUUGUUUAGCCCCAGUUUUAUUUUAAAAAUAAUGCUAAAAUAAGCAUGUAGAAAGCAGUAAGUUAUGUUGUUUGGACAGGGGUUCGAAUCCCCUCGACUCCACUA
rnacentral:tmRNA from 1 species